rnacentral:rRNA from 1 species
GUAGUCAUAUGCUUGUCUCAAAGAUUAAGCCAUGCAUGUCUAAGUAUAAGCAAUUUAUACAGUGAAACUGCGAAUGGCUCAUUAAAUCAGUUAUCGUUUAUUUGAUAGUACCUUUACUACUUGGUAUAACCGUGGUAAUUCUAGAGCUAAUACAUGCUAAAAACCCCGACUGUUUGGAAGGGGUGUAUUUAUUAGAUAAAAAAUCAAUGCUCUUCUGAGCUCUUUGAUGAUUCAUAAUAACUUUUCGAACCGCAUGACUUCGUGUCGGCGAUGGUUCAUUCAAAUUUCUGCCCUAUCAACUUUCGAUGGUAGGAUAGUGGCCUACCAUGGUUUCAACGGGUAACGGGGAAUG